rnacentral:rRNA from 1 species
GUGGGGAAUCUUAGACAAUGGGGGAAACCCUGAUCCAGCAAUGCCGCGUGUGUGAAGAAGGCCUUCGGGUUGUAAAGCACUUUUGGCAGGAAAGAAAUAGUGCGUGCUAAUACCAUGCGCGAAUGACGGUACCUGCAGAAUAAGCACCGGCUAACUACGUGCCAGCAACCGCGGUAAGACGUAGGGUGCAAGCGUUAAUCGGAAUUACUGGGCGUAAAGCGUGCGCAGGCGGUUUUGUAAGACAGGUGUGAAAUCCCCGGGCUCAACCUGGGAACUGCACUUGUGACUGCAAGGCUAGAGUGUGUCAGAGGGAGGUGGAAUUCCGCGUGUAGCAGUGAAAUGCGUAGAGAUGCGGAGGAACACCGAUGGCGAAGGCAGCCUCCUGGGAUAACACUGACGCUCAGGCACGAAAGCGUGGGGAGCAAACAGGAUUAGAUACCCGAGUAGUCC